rnacentral:rRNA from 1 species
AGUUCGGACUGUGGUCUGCAACCCGACCACACGAAGCUGGAAUCGCUAGUAAUCGCGAAUCAGAAUGUCGCGGUGAAUACGUUCCCGGGUCUUGUACACACCGCCCGUCACACCAUGGGAGUCAGCAACGCCCGAAGUCAGUGACCUAACCGAAAGGGAGGAGCUGCCGAAGGCGGGGCCGGUAACUGGGGUGAAGUCGUAACAAGGUAGC